AGGGUAGCGGUGGAGGCACUGCGGAUCCUCCUGGCCCGGGCCCAGCUGGACGAUGUAGUGAAACCCCUGGACCAGGGGGGCCUGCGGACAAGAUGAAGGACCCCCAGCAGCACAUCACCGGGGUCACCCUCCUCGCCAGGGCCAUGGCCAGGCACGCAGGCCCUCGUCUCCCGGCCAUAGUGGAGUGUCUGUGCCCCUGUCUCAACAACAUCUACGAGUGUCAGAGGGUCACUAUCACAGCCUUCUUCUCUGAGUUGCUGAACCAC